GCAGCCGCAGCCCCAUCCACGCCGCCGCCGCCGACGCAGGCAGAGGCAGAGCGCACCCAGCGCCACGCCAGCCAUGACGUCGUCGUCGUUCAAUGUGGGGGAGUCGUCUCGCGCCCGUGAGCAACCAGCGAGCGACGAGGUGCUCGAGUUCCAGCCCCGCCCGUGGGUGGCACCGCAGCCGCAGCCCCAUCGACGCCGCCGCCGACGACGCAGGCAGAAGCAGAGCGCACCCAGCGUCACGCCAGCCAUGGCAUCGUCGUCGUUCAAUGUGGGGGAGUCGUCUCGCGCCCGUGAGCAACCAGCGAGCGACGAGGUGCUCGAGUUCCAGCCCCGCCCGUGGGUGGCACCGCAGCCGCAGCCCCAUCGACGCCGCCGCCGACGACGCAGGCAGAAGCAGAGCGCACCCAGCGCCACGCCAGCCAUGGCAUCGUCGUUGUUCAAUGUGGGGGAGUCGUCUCGCGCCCGUGAGCAACCAGCGCGCGACGAGGUGCUCGAGUUCCAGCCCCGCCCAUGGGUGGCACCGCAGCCGCAGCCCCAUCCACGCCGCCGCCGACAACGCAGGCAUAGGCAGAGCGCACCCAGCGCCACGCCAGCCAUGGCGUCGUCGUCGUUCAAUGUGGGGGAGUCGUCUCGCGCCCGUGAGCAAACAGCGCGCGACGUGGCGCUCGAGUUCCAGCCCCGCCCGUGGGUGGCACUCUCCUCCAUCCCCAUCGUCCUCGACGCCAGAGACGAGCGGGCAUCGAUGCUCGCGCCUGGCGUCACCGACUUUGUUUUCGCCCUGCAGCACCCGCUGCUCAGGCCGUCCUACCUGGUCCUGCCCGGGCGCAUCGUCCCGGGCCCCAGGUCGUUAAGCUUCCCCUACGUCGUCUCCACCUGCUCCGAUCGCCUGCUCUUCCGGGUUACCCACGGCGGCAGCGUCUGGGACUACUCCUAUUUCCUCUGCGACAUCCACGCCCGCACUGCCGCCCUCCUCCCCGACGUCCCAGCCAACCUCGGCGUCAGCACCUUGCCGCGACGAAGCAUCGGCCUCAUCGCCGACCGGCGACACGUUGGCCACUACAUGGUGGCCCAGCUGCAGCCCACCUCCAUGAGGACGAUCUUGCUCUGCUACUCCACCUGCACCGACCAGUGGACCGCCAGGACGCUGGCCUCCCACCCGAACCACGAGCCCUCGGGCGUUGACGGCGUCAUCGCCCACGGCGGCCUCCUCUGGUGGGUCGACAUCGCCAGCGGCGUGCAUGUUUGUGACCCUUUCGCCGACAACGCCGACCUGCACCUGCGCUUCAUCCCACUCCCGGUCUGCUGCCAGAUGUCGAGGCUCGACAAGCUCGUCAGCCCCUUUGAGCUCGUGCACCAGCGACGCCUCAUCAGGCCCAGCGACGGCAAGCUGCGCUACGUCGAGAUCCAGGGAGUCCCCUUUGUUCCGGCUGCCAACAAGCAGCCCUUGUUGAACCCUCGGGUUUGCAUGUUCACGCUCGUCAGCCAGGAGAACCGACAUUACUGGGUACACCAGUACACGGCGACCUUCGCCGACAUCUUCGCCGACGCUGUCCUGCCGUCGGGCGUGGUGCCCUGGCUCGCCCUCGUCGACCCCAACAUCCCCCAUCUCCUCUACUUCUUCCUGAACAGGACGCUCUUCGUAGUAGACGCACACGCCAAGCUGGUCGUGCGCCGCUUGGAAUACCCGGUAGACAUGGAUAAAGCGGAGCUCAGGUUCCAGACCUCCCGCUUCGUUGAUGCCUGGUUGCUGCCACCAAGGUUGACGAGUGUGAUGUUAAUUAACUAUCUCGGCAAUGCGCCAGCCGGUCGGAGCGGGAUUCGGGAGACUAAUGACGAAGGAACGGAUGGAUCUGAUUUCGACCAAACAGCAGCUUUGUUGUCUCAGAUGGAGAUCAAGAGCCAGCCAGAUAGGGAUUAGGGAGGAGGUGGCUACCGACGACCAAGCUGCCGACUCCGAUGAACAAGCUGAUGCAUGAUAAUUGCUGAACCAUAGAUAUCCAGCUUACCUAAGGGCUUGUUCGGUUCUACCCCAAUCCAUAUGGAUUGAGGGGGUUUCAAUCCCUAGUAAGUCAAAAUCCCUCCCAAUCCGUAUCAAUCCCCUCCAAUCCAUAUGGAUUGAAAAUAACCGAACAAGCCCUAAGUGGGGGAUCGAGAGGCCACUUCUUAUUCGUCUCAACAAGUAGUGCAGGGUUAUGCGACCUUUAUGAUGGUUUCGGACAUGUGUCCACUAGGAACCAUCAUCAGAUCCAAGUAAGGAACAAAGCCUGUUUUGUGCGCUGUGGAUGUCCGAGAUAACAUUUUGUGUU